AAACCAACAGGGAUUGCCUCAGUAGCGGCGAGUGAAGCGGCAAAAGCUCAAAUUUGAAAUCUGGUAGUUCUGCUACCCGAGUUGUAAUUUGUAGAAAACUGUCUUUGUUAGGGUGCCUGUCUAAGUUCCUUGGAACAGGACGUCGCAGAGGGUGAGAAUCCCGUGUGAUGGGUGGCCCGAGCUUUUAAGGCGUUUUCGAAGAGUCGAGUUGUUUGGGAAUGCAGCUCUAAGUGGGUGGUAAAUUCCAUCUAAAGCUAAAUAUUGGCGAGAGACCGAUAGCGAACAAGUACAGUGAUGGAAAGAUGAAAAGAACUUUGAAAAGAGAGUGAAACAGUACGUGAAAUUGUUGAAAGGGAAGGGUAUUUGAUCCGACAUGGGAUUUACUCAUCAUUGCUCCUUGUGGGUGGUGCUCUGGGUUUUUUCUGGGCCAGAAUCAGUUUGUGUGGCAGGAUAAAGGCGUGAGGAAGUAGCUCUUCUGGAGCAAUAUAACUCAUGUUAAUACUGCCUAUGCGGACUGAGGAAUGCGGUUUUUACCAAGGAUUCUGGCAUAACGAUUAAAUACCGC
rnacentral:rRNA from 1 species